UCGACUAACGGAAUUGAGGGAGCAAGAUCCGGAAAAUUUGCUUGGGAUGGUGGCUACGACGACGGCGAGCAUUCGGAGAUGAAAAUAUGCGGAUUGGGAAAAGUUUACCGGAGCCUAUUCUUCGGACGGUCGGACGGCUAGUUGGAUUUCGGCAACCGUCGCGACGCGUGUUCUUGCUCUUGCCAGCAGUAGAGCCACGCGCGCUCGUGGAAAAUUUUUACUCCUGGUGAGCCUAGUGCUGUGAGUAAGGUCAGCGCGGUGUUGAGCGGUGAUUUCUUGCUCUUGUUGUUGGUGUUUUCUAUUCACAGUUGUUGGUGCAAAAGUGAGCGUCGAUAGUCGACGAGUGUGUAUGUGAGUGCGAGGGAGAUUGGUAGCAAAUAUUUGCUGAAGAGUUUUCAUUAAUCCUAUCAACGAACGUGUCUGUCAGUCUACUGGCUCGGAUGAUAAAUGGUGCCAAGCUCAGAUAUGUUUGUACAGAAGUGUUUGCUAAUAACCCAAGCAUAGUUGUAUUCAACAAAUCCGCUUUGCUAGUGAUGGUUCAACCGUUCAGUGUAUAAGCUUCUAUUAGAUCUUGGGUAUCAAUUUCACAGAUAGUGCACAAUAGCAAUAGCGAAAACACACCUUACGCCCCCUGCCCGUGAAAAUUCCAAUCUACAAAGUGAAUCGGUGUAAAUCUGUUUGAAAAGAAGAAUCGUAGAAAGCACUUAAUGCUUGAGUGAAUCACUCCUUUGGCUGCUGUUGGAUUCCUAGAGUGUAAAAUACGACGAGCCAAAACAAGUUGAACCGAAUCGUUCUUGCCUCCCAUUUGCAGCGAGCAGCAAAUCCGUCAACCCCCGCUAUCUAGCCCUUGAUUAUGCUGCCAGCCGAAGGAAGCAGUAAAGUGCGCUCAGAAUCCCGUUAAUAUAUGAGCAAACGAACCAGGGCCAAAACCGGCAACAACCAGAACCAGAACCAGUAAGCAGGAGCAACUCCCGAAAGCAUUCAACCAUCAAAACGACCGACAAGAGUUGAUCCUCCUGCUGCUGUGGAAGCGAAGAAGGUUUGUGUGAAAUCCAAAUGUUAAGUGGUGCACUGGAGCAUUAGUGAACCGGAGCGUGAAGAACAGUGUGGUGCUUGCUGCUUCUAGUCAGUCCCUGUGAGCUCCACAAAAAGCGGACACCGGAGCCAUCCUCCUCGGAUUCAUCUCCCUGACUAGCUCAAAUCCUCAACUGUGGGGGUGACCGUACCGAAAAAAUAAUAAUAACAGAAAAAAUACAAAAUUCCACUCCGUUUGGAGCCCAGUGAACAGUGAAAACGAAGGAUACACUACCAGAGAAAGAGCGAAGAGAAGAAAAAAAUUAAUCUAAAUAAAAAUACGAAAAGUGCUACAACUAGCGAGCCGCCGGAGGAUUAAACGCGGUAUACUCUGGUGCUCUUUUGAUCCUUAGGGCAGCAAUCGUGUUGCUAGUCAGAUUGCUCCCAGAACCUAGAACGGAACUUUCCGAGCUUGAACCAGAUUAUAAUUACUUUGCUCCUCCUCGUCUCAGUCGGUGAGUCGGCAAUGAUCUUCUAGUGAUCCGGGUAGGCAAGUUUAUUUUUGUGUGCCAUUCAUUCAACAUGUGUGCUGCGGAUCAAGGUUUUAGCUAUACCUACUAGAGUGAAGUGAAUCUGAGUGAUUUCCUCGGCUCCGAGGAAAAAGCCGUCGGGUGAAAACAACCUAGCCCUAGUUUGGUAUUGUCAGUGCAUAGUGGAGUUUCCUACAUCCCCAAUCAACAAACAGAACCACACACACAGCUUCGCUGUGUGCUGUGCACAAGCAACAUCAAAGCAAGAGUUUCAAGAAGCAGAAGAGAAGAAAAAAACAUCAACAAUACACACCUUACCCCAUUCUCCUCCGGCCUUUCAGUCUCCGAGUGGCAGCUGUCAUUUCCGGUUAACACUGGGUCUCGGGAAACGAGAGAAAACGAGGAAAAACCGUUCCUACCGCCCAUCAGUGUGCACACUUUUAUUGGUCUCUACGAGCGCUAACAACCAAGCAAGUAGC